rnacentral:rRNA from 1 species
UACGUAGGGUGCGAGCGUUAAUCGGAAUUACUGGGCGUAAAGCGUGCGCAGGCGGUUAGCCGUGUCCGAUGUGAAAGCCCCGGGCUCAACCUGGGAAUGGCAUUGGAAACUGGCUGGCUGGAGUGUGGCAGAGGGGGGUGGAAUUCCACGUGUAGCAGUGAAAUGCGUAGAGAUGUGGAGGAACACCGAUGGCGAAGGCAGCCCCCUGGGUCAAGAUUGACGCUCAUGCACGAAAGCGUGGGGGAGCAAACAGG